ensembl:lncRNA
AGGGAAGUGACGUAACAUUUACUUAAGAUAUCUUCCUUUUCAAUAGCACUCUGCUGUGGACACAGAUCGCAUAAAGACUGUGAUCCACCUAAAGUCUUGGGGACAUGUUGUUUUGUAAAGGACAGAAAGGCCCUCCCACUGAACAUGCUCACAAUUUACCCCCUUUAGGGACGACAUUAAGAUCCAACACGGAUCUUCGUCAGGUCCCCUGGUUGGAUGGAUUUUCGUCAGGUCCCCUGGUUGGAUGGAUCUUCACCAGGUCCCCUGGUUGGAUGGAUCUUCACCAGGUCCCCUGGUUGGAUGGAUCUUAGCCAUGUCCCCUGGUUGGAUGGAUCUUCGUCAGGUCCCCUGGUUGGAUGGAUCUUCGCCAUGUCCCC